rnacentral:rRNA from 1 species
AGACGGAGGGAGCAAGCGUUGCUCGGAAUGAUUGGGCGUAAAGGGUGCGUAGGUGGUUUUUUAAGUGAAAUGUUAAAGGCUCGGACUUAAUUUGAGUACGGCAUUUUAUACUGAAAGACUUGAGUGUGGGAGAGGAAAUAGGAAUUCCUCAAGUAGAGGUGAAAUUCAUAGAUAUGAGGAGGAACACCAGAGGCGAAGGCGAAUUUCUGGAACACUACUGACACUGAGGCACGAAAGCGUGGGGAGCAAACAGGAUUAGAUACCCUGGUAGUCCACGCCCUAAACGAUGAUUGCUAAACGUCGGAAAUAAUUAAUUUUCGGUGUUAAAGCUAACGCGAUAAGCAAUCCGCCUGAGUAGUACGGUCGCAAGACUAAA